AGUUUGGGAGCACAGGCUCAAAAAGGUUUGUCAUCACUGUUGCAGACUAUGGAAGAAGGGAGGGUUAGGGCUCAUUUUAAAGUACAUCUUCAGAAAUUAAGUAAUACAAAAUUGAAACCGGACAGAACAAUUUGUAUCUUUGCCUCGCGACAACACUGAAGCAAAGAGGAAGGGAAAUUGGGCUAUGUUUCAUUUCGUAUUGCAGAAUAGUUACACUUUGUGGCGAGAGAAUUGGUUAACCAGAGAGAAAUGUCAAGAGUUGCCUAAAUGCAUUUCCAAUACAUGCUUGUGUAUACACCCAUAUGUCAAUAAGCUUAUAUUUACUAGUAUCUUAUUUUUCUGCAAAUGACUGAGCACAAAUUAAUGUGCUUGGAGCAUCGUAGAAUAGUGAUGUUACCCUGGAUACAAAGGUGCAAUGGACCUCAAUGUGACUUUUACUUUCAUCACUUCUACACCUUACCUGAGUGGUACUUCAAUACAUCUUACGUAGAUGAGGCAUUGAGGAACUAUUUCUUCUUAAGAAGUGACAGUUCUGCUUUAAAAUGAGGGUCAGCAUGUAUAUGCAUCUGACAUAAAGGGAAGUGAAG